rnacentral:rRNA from 1 species
GAUGAACGCUGGCGGCGUGCCUCAAACAUGCAAGUCGAGCGGGGCUAUGUAAUAUCGCAAGGUAGAACAUAGCCUAGCGGCGAACGGGUGAGUAACACGUGGGUAACCUGCCUGGAAGACAGGGUUAACGAUUCGAAAGGGUCGCUAAUACCUGAUAAUAUCCUUUCAUCGCAUGGUGAUAGGAAGAAAGGGGAAACCCGCUUUCAGAUGGGCCCGCGUCCCAUCAGCUAGUUGGUAAGGUAAAGGCUUACCAAGGCGACGACGGGUAGCCGGUCUGAGAGGAUGUACGGCCACACUGGGACUGAGAUACGGCCCAGACUCCUACGGGAGGCAGCAGUUGGGAAUCUUAGGCAAUGGACGAAAGUCUGACCUAGCGACGCCGCGUGAGGGAAGAAGGCCUUCGGGUUGUAAACCUCUGUCAUGGGGGAAGAAGGAAGUGACGGUACCCCAAGAGGAAGCCCCUGCUAACUACGUG